rnacentral:rRNA from 1 species
AUGUUGCCCCCUCCGCGCCGCGGCCCGGCGUACAAGACCAAGAUGUGCGCGCUGUGGCAGAACGGCAACUGCGACCGCGAGCUCUGCAGCUUCGCCCACGGCACGGCCGAGCUCCGCCGGCCCCCCUCCUCCCGGCCCACCUUCCCGCCCCACCACGCCGGGAGAAGAGAUUAUAGAGGUGGUGAUUUCAGAGGCAGGAUUGAAAGGAGGUUCUCACCUCGCAGGAGGCAUUCCCCUGGAAGAGAUUUCAGGGGUCAUCGUUCCCUACACGAUCGAAGGCCAACUUCUCGAGAAAGGGAGUCUAGCUUUUCACGGUCUCCCAGCAGGAAGAGUGAGAGGAGGCAUGAAAAGAAGAUGGAUGAUGGAGAAACAAACUCAUCUAAGAGUUCUCCUAUCUCUGAUAAUAAUGAUAGGAAAAAGGAAAAAGUCACUAGUGGUGACGAGAAAGAGGAUUAUGAAAAGGAGCUGAAACAAGUUAGAUCAGAUAUGGAGGCUUUGCGUGACGAUAAAUCUCAUCUCGAGAUUGUUUUGGAUGAGAAAAUGGAUGAAGUGCGCAGGAUUUCUAGCCAAGUAAGUGACCUUGAUCAGCAGCUGAGGAGGGAGAAAGAAGAAUGUCAUAGAAUGACGUCAAAAAUGAAGAAGUUCCUAAAAGCUCAUGUCCGUUUUAUGAAAGCUCGGGAGGAGUUGAAAAGGUCACAAGCUCGUUUUGAGAGACUUGGUGAUAUGCUUGCUUCAGAAAUUUUAAAGCGUGGUGCUAAUGAAGAAGCUUCCAGCGUCCAUGUUGAUGAAGAUCUAAAUGGACCUUAUGAAAGGAGUCCAAAUGCUACUCCAGCUAAAAAGCGAUCAAUCCCAUACUCAACUAGUGAUGAGGCAAAAGCUGCUAAGAAAAGAGGAGAGCGAGAGACUGAUACAUUCACUAGAUCAGAUAAAUAUAGGUCAGAAGGCGAUAUUACAGACUAUGAUAAAACAAGUAAGGGUAGUGAUGGAACAAAAUCUAUAUAUUUGAAGAAGAGACUGUGGGAAGAUGAAAAGAAUAAGCUUGGAAAUGCUGCCUCCUCUGCAGACCAGGUGAAAGAUUCUCCAGUGAAGCACGCUUUGCCCUCCACUGGUAUGGCUGCUCGUGCCUUAUAUGACCUUAACGAGGCAGUUGAACUGGAUGAUAGAAACGAACAGAUAGAUGCAUUGCUAGAAAAUGAUGCUGACGGGACUAGAUCGCCGGUACCUCCAGUGGGCCAAAAUGCCUUCGAGCAGUAUGACGACCUCGACGAGGAAGUGGAUGUGGACGUAUAA